rnacentral:piRNA from 1 species
UAGGCCCUGUAGAUGCAAGUUUCCCCUGC